rnacentral:rRNA from 1 species
GACGUAGGGCGCGAGCGUUGUCCGGAUUUAUUGGGCGUAAAGAGCUCGUAGGCGGCUUGUCGCGUCAACUGUGAAAACCCGUGGCUCAACCAUGUGGUCUGCAGUCGAUACGGGCAGGCUAGAAUUCGGUAGGGGAGACUGGAAUUCCUGGUGUAGCGGUGAAAUGCGCAGAUAUCAGGAGGAACACCGGUGGCGAAGGCGGGUCUCUGGGCCGAUAUUGACGCUGAGGAACGAAAGCCAGGGGAGCAAACGGG